AAUGGUCGGGAUAGCUCA
rnacentral:tRNA from 6 species